GGUUUGAUCCUGGCUCAGAACGAAMGCUGRCGGCGUKCUUAACACAUGCAAGUCGAACGUGAUCCGGAGCUUGCUCCGGUGAAAGUGGCGCACGGGUGAGUAACGCGUGGAUAAUCUGCCCUGGUAUCUGGGAUAACAUCUCGUAAGGGGUGCUAAUACCGGAUAAGCCUACGGGAUCCUCGGAUUCUGCAGGAAAAGGUGGCCUCUAUUUAUAAGCUACCGUAUCAGGAUGAGUCCGCGUACCAUUAGCUAGUUGGUGGGGUAAUGGCCCACCAAGGCUACGAUGGUUAGCUGGUCUGAGAGGAUGAUCAGCCACACUGGAACUGAGACACGGUCCAGACUCCUACGGGAGGCAGCAGUGGGGAAUUUUGCGCAAUGGGGGAAACCCUGACGCAGCAACGCCGCGUGAGUGAUGAAGGCUUUCGGGUCGUAAAGCUCUGUCAGAGGGGAAGAAAUGAGACUGGCUAAUAUCCAGUUUUCUUGACGGUACCCUCAAAGGAAGCACCGGCUAACUCCGUGCCAGCAGCCGCGGUAAUACAAGGGCGAAWKSK
rnacentral:rRNA from 1 species